rnacentral:rRNA from 1 species
AUACAUGCGAGUCGAACGCUUUUUCUUUCACCGGAGCUUGCUCCACCGAAAGAAAAAGAGUGGCGAACGGGUGAGUAACACGUGGGUAACCUGCCCAUCAGAAGGGGAUAACACUUGGAAACAGGUGCUAAUACCGUAUAACACUAUUUUCCGCAUGGAAGAAAGUUGAAAGGCGCUUUUGCGUCACUGAUGGAUGGACCCGCGGUGCAUUAGCUAGUUGGUGAGGUAACGGCUCACCAAGGCCACGAUGCAUAGCCGACCUGAGAGGGUGAUCGGCCACACUGGGACUGAGACACGGCCCAGACUCCUACGGGAGGCAGCAGUAGGGAAUCUUCGGCAAUGGACGAAAGUCUGACCGAGCAACGCCGCGUGAGUGAAGAAGGUUUUCGGAUCGUAAAACUCUGUUGUUAGAGAAGAACAAGGAUGAGAGUAAAACGUUCAUCCCUUGACGGUAUCUAACCAGAAAGCCACGGCUAACUACGUGCCAGCAGCCGCGGUAAUACGUACGUGGCAAGCGUUGUCCGGAUUUAUUGGGCGUAAAGCGAGCGCAGCGGUUUCUUAAGUCUGAUGUGAAAGCCCCC